GACUUUAGGGAUAGUGCCACAGAAAAUAGACCGCCUGAGAAGGUAAGGGUGAAAAGGUGCGGUAAGAGCGCACCGCAUAUAUGGUAACAUAAUAUGGCAGGGUAAACCCCGUUGGGAGCAAGACCAAAUAGGAAUAGCGAAGGUGAAAACCAAGAAUUGUCUCAGUUUUAGUUAUUCGGGUAGGUUGCUAGAGAUGUAUGGAAACAUAUAUCCAAGAUGAAUGAUCAUCACCACUUAGUGGAUACAGAACCCGGCUUACAGACCAUCUGACUUU
rnacentral:RNase_P_RNA from 1 species